UACGAAGGGGGCUAGCGUUGCUCGGAAUUACUGGGCGUAAAGCGCAUGUAGGCGGCGAUUCAAGUUAGAUGUGAAAGGCCCGGGCUCAACCCGGGAACUGCAUUUGAUACUGAAUUGCUAGAGUCCAAGAGAGGGUAGUGGAAUUCCCCAGUGUAGAGGUGAAAUUCGUAGAUAUUGGGAAGAACACCAGUGGCGAAGGCGGCUACCUGGCUUGGUACUGACGCUGAGAUGCGAAAGCGUGGGGAGCAAACAGG
rnacentral:rRNA from 1 species